rnacentral:lncRNA from 1 species
GAAGCUCCUUUAGUCCAGUGGUUGACGAAGGGUUGUUUAAAGCUUCUACACCAAUAGUUUGGGGUUCGACGCCCAGCUAAUGCGAUUUAUUAAUUUGCAGAUAAAGGAGAUAGCUUACAUGAGAUCUAUAACAAUGCAUAAUUAAAGCCGUUCGCCGUGAUUCUACGCAUGGAGAAAGAGGUGUCGUCAGAAAAAUGUGUAAUCCGUGGUGAAUCUAACAGGGUCGGACAGAAUUGUCGUUAGUAGAAGUGUCAUUGUAACAAUUCUCAUAAUUUGCAAUCUAUAUUAUUAAAUGAGUAGUCGAAAGUGCUCACAUUCAAUCUCACAAAAAUAUUACUAAGUUACCCUUAAUGAAAAAUACCCCUAAUUGUAAUCUUUUCCUUAAUCCUUAAUUUAUUAAAACAAAAAAAAUUAAAAUCGGCUCUUUGCAAGACUAAAUCGAAAAAUUAGGUCAGACCGGGUUACUGUUUAACCUUUAAUGAAAAAAU